rnacentral:rRNA from 1 species
CCUACGGGGUGCAGCAGUGGGGAAUAUUGGACAAUGGGCGAAAGCCUGAUCCAGCCAUGCCGCGUGUGUGAAGAAGGCCUUCGGGUUGUAAAGCACUUUCAGUGGGGAAGAAAGCCUUGGGGCUAAUACCCUCGAGGAAGGACAUCACCCACAGAAGAAGCACCGGCUAACUCCGUGCCAGCAGCCGCGGUAAUACGGAGGGUGCGAGCGUUAAUCGGAAUUACUGGGCGUAAAGCGCGCGUAGGCGGUCUGAUAAGCCGGUUGUGAAAGCCCCGGGCUCAACCUGGGAACGGCAUCCGGAACUGUCAGGCUAGAGUGCAGGAGAGGAAGGUAGAAUUCUCGGUGUAGCGGUGAAAUGCGUAGAGAUCGGGAGGAAUACCAGUGGCGAAGGCGGCCUUCUGGACUGACACUGACGCUGAGGUGCGAAAGCGUGGGUAGCAAACAGGAUUAGAUACCCGAGUAGUC